rnacentral:tRNA from 1 species
GGGGGUAUAGCUCAGUGGUAGAUCAUUCGACUGUAGAUCAAGAGGUACGUGGUUCAAAUCCGUGUGCCUUCU